rnacentral:rRNA from 1 species
UACAGAGGUCCCGAGCGUUGUUCGGAUUCACUGGGCGUAAAGGGUGCGUAGGUGGCUUGGAAAGUUUGAUGUGAAAGCUCAGGGCUUAACCCCUGAAAUGGCAUUGAAUACUGUCGAGCUGGAGGUUUGGAGGGGGGACUGGAAUUCUUGGUGUAGCAGUGGAAAUGCGUAGAUAUCAAGAGGAACAGCCAGUGGCGAAGGCGAGUCCCCUGGACAAC